UUCUUAUCUCAAAGGCAGAUGUAAGGUGGCUGUCGCCUGCUGCAUCAUACUGGUUCAGUCAUACUCUUAGGGCCAGGGACAGCAAAGGUUGGGCUCAAUACCAGAGCACAGUACUUCCCAAUCCGGUCUUCAUUACCAUUGAAACAUUGGCUAAUUAUAUGAAUCUAAUGCAGAGCAAUGAACAAGCCUGUGGAGCUGGCUAGUGAACAUACACUGGUGGAAACUGGAAACUGUGGCAUGGAUCAAGGGAAAACUGGACUGGAAUGACUAGUGAGAGCAGAAAAACGAAGCCUAGAUCACGGAGAAGCCGGGACGAUGUUCAGUGGGCGUAACAGAUACUUACAAAGGUUAGAGAUUCAGACAGAACGAGAAAUAAAUAAAUAGUCGAAUAAAUACACAAAUAUUCGUAAUUUCCUUUGGCAAUGAAACAUUGAAAUCGGUAGAUUAUAACAGAACAACGUCGUAAACAUUUUAUGUCGAAAUGAAACCUUAAAGCAUGAAGCUAAAGGAGUGUCCUACCCGACGUUGGAGUCUUAUGUCCCACUUGCAAAGCGGAAGCCCAACAUGUCCGACAAAACGACUUCGAUAAUCCUAACGGCAAUAUUACACUGGUAAACUGAAAUUCUACUACUUUACUCAAACGAAGACACCGCGGUGGCAGCAACAGAAAGGGAGAGAUGAAAGCGAAAGAUAAUCAGAAUAUCCACACUGGUGUCUGAAAGCCAGGAGGCGCUACAGACGUUACACUCCUGUGAUGAAAAAUCAAGGGUAAUUUUUACUGCAGUGCAGUUACUGAGGAAUUCAGUACUGAGAAUGGGGAGGGGAAACAUCCAGAAGGAUCAGGCGGCUCCUCUGUGGGUUUAUUUCACAUUAUCAUCCUAUACCUGAGGAAAAUACAAUCAGUUGUUAGCACUAGAACAAUGUGAACUAGCAAUCUCUGCAGAAUUCAACCAUUAUAUGUGUAAUAGCUUCCAUAGUCAUUAUUUUAUGGAAGCUCAUUUUACACUAACCUCAGUGGGAUGGAAAUCAAUCAGCUUAUACAUAAAAUAACCUUCUGUUACUUUCCUAAAGUCAUCAAUUUUUCAGUAAAAAUAUUAAAAAGAUAUUUUAAUACACACACAGGUUUGUAAUUAUAUCUUUGUGGGGACUCUUCAUUCAUUUCUAUGGGGGAGACUUUCUUGGUAUCCUUUGAUUACAUUCACAGAUCUUUGUGGGGAUCAGAAAAAUGGACAUUUGGUCCCCACAAUGUAAUAUAAACAUAAUCUACACACACACACACAC